rnacentral:piRNA from 1 species
UNCCCUUAAGGCAGAAAUCUGGUGUCGGAUC